rnacentral:rRNA from 1 species
UCAAGCUACAAAGAGCACAAGGGGAAUGCCUUGGCACCGAGAGCCGAAGAAGGACGUGACUAACUGCGAUAAGCUGCGGGGAGCCGUAAGUAGGCUUUGAUCCGCAGAUUUCCGAAUGGAGCAAUCCGGCAAGAGGAAAGUCUUGUCAUCAUAUACUGAAUACAUAGGUAUAUGAGGGGAACCGCCUGAACUGAAACAUCUAAGUAGGGCGAGGAAGAGAAAUCAACUGAGAUUCCGUAAGUAGUGGCGAGCGAACGCGGAAGAGGCCAAACCGAGAGUAGUAAUACUUUCGGGGUUCGGACAGAAUACGGCAUUGUAAAGGUUUAGUGGAAUGGAAUGGGAAGUCCAACCGAAGAAGGUGAGAGUCCUGUACACGAAAAGCCUGAACAGCCAUCUGUAUCCAGAGUACCGCCGGACACGUGAAACCCGGUGGGAAUAUGGGGGGACCAUCCUCCAAGCCUAAAUACUACUCGGUGACCGAUAGUGAAGAAGUACUGUGAAGGAAAGGUGAAAAGUACCCCUGACGGGGAGUGAAAAAGAACCUGAAACCUUGUGUUUACAAGCACCGAAAGCUCAUCAAAGAGCGAUCGGGUACCUUUUGUAGAAUGGUCCGGCGAGUGAAUGUAACCGGCGAGGUUAAGCACUUAAGGUGUGAAGCCGCAGCGAGAGCAAGUCUGAAUAGGGCGUAUGAAGUCGGUUGUAUUCGACCCGAAACCGGGUGACCUACCCAUGGUCAGGUUGAAGUAAAGGUAAAACUUUAUGGAGGACCGAACCGACUCCCGUUGAAAUGGUAGCGGAUGAACUGUGGGUAGCGGAGAAAUUCCAAUCGAACCCGGAGAUAGCUGGUUCUCUCCGAAAUAGCUUUAGGGCUAGCCUUGAAAUAGAUUACCGGAGGUAAAGCACUGAAUUGGCUAGGGGCCGAGAGGUUACUGAACCUUAUCAAACUAAGAAUGCCGGAUAAUCGUUUUUCAGGAGUCAGACAGUGGGAGAUAAGUUUCAUUGUCAAAAGGGAAACAGCCCAGACCCACAGCUAAGGUCCCCAAGUAUAGUUAAGUGGAAAAGGAUGUGGAAUUGCACAGACAACCAGGAUGUUGGCUUAGAAGCAGCCACUCAUUAAAAGAGUGCGUAAUAGCUCACUGGUCGAGUGACUCUGCGCCGAAAAUUUAACGGGGCUAAACUAUACACCGAAGCUUGGGAUACAUCUAAUGUAUGGUAGGAGAGCGUUCUGUAUGGGGAGAAGUCGUAGCGAAAGCGGCGGUGGACUAUACAGAAGUGAGAAUGCCGGAAUAAGUAGCGAGAAUUAAGUGAGAAUCUUAAUGGCCGAAAGUCUAAGGUUUUUGGAGGAAGGUUCGUCCGCUCCAAGUUAGUCGGGAGCUAAGGUCAGGCCGAAAGGCGUAGCCGAUGCACAUACGGUUGAUAUUCCGUAACCAUCUGUAAUUUAAGCAAAGGGACACUUCAAAAGGGUGUGACCCGGGCGUUGGUUGACCCGGGCGUAAGGGACCGAAAUUAGAGUAGGGAAGCACACUUAGCUGAAGGCGAGAAAAGCUUUGCGUAUAGAAACAGAUGCCCGUACCGCAAACCGACACAGGUGGACAGGAAGAGAAUUCUAAGGCCAGCGGGAGAAGGGUAGUUAAGGAACUCGGCAAAUUGACUCCGUAACUUCGGAAUAAGGAGUGCUCGAAAGAGCCGCAGAGAAUAGGCCCAGGCGACUGUUUAGCAAAAACACAGGUCUCUGCCAAAUCGAAAGAUGAAGUAUAGGGGCUGACACCUGCCCGGUGCCGGAAGGUUAAGAGGAGGAGUGAGAGCUCCGAAUUGAAGCCCCGGUAAACGGCGGCCGUAACUAUAACGGUCCUAAGGUAGCGAAAUUCCUUGUCGGGUAAGUUCCGACCCGCACGAAUGGUGUAACGAUCUGGGCACUGUCUCAACUACCCACCCGGCGAAAUUGUAGUACCGGUGAAGAUGCCGGUUACCUGCGGCAAGACGGAAAGACCCCAUGGAGCUUUACUGUAGCCUGAUAUUGGGUUUCGGAAAUCUAUGUACAGGAUAGGCGGGAGACUGGGAAACAUGAGCGUCAGCUUGUGUGGAGUCGAUGUUGGGAUACCGCCCUUAGGUUUCUGGAAUUCUAACCUGCGGCCGUGAAUCCGGUCGGGGGACAUUGU